rnacentral:rRNA from 1 species
GGGGAAUCAGCCUUACGACCGUUGGCAGAGAGAUAGACUAGUUAUAAGCCUUGGUUGUUGUGUGCAAUUCAUUGCUCAUGAUGGUCUUGGCGACUGUCUUUCCUCUAAUAAGCUAAUGGUUGUUGGGUGCACUUCCCCUCGUCUUUUG